AAAUCUUUUUGGGCUGAAGCUGCUACUACAGCAUGUUUCCUGACAAUCGCUCAUCCUCAACGGCCAUUGAGAAUAAAACACCAUAAGUGAUAUAGUAUGGAAAACCCUCUUGUUAUACUGAUUUGAAGAUCUUUGGGUGUCCUAUUUAUGUGCACGUGAAUAUGGAAAAUUGGAGCCUAUGUCUAGAAAGUGCAUCUUUCUUAGGUACAAAUCAGGUGUGAAGGCUUAUAAAUUGUGGUGUCUCGGAGAAAAGAAAGUGGUGGUCAGUAGAGAUGUAGUUUAUGAUAAACUUGCUAUGGUUCAUGGUACACCUUAUGGGGAUUCUAGUAAAGCUAAAGAACAGAAUCAUUCAACUUACGAGGAGUUGGAAAUUGGUCUAGGGAAAAAAAUCAGAGAUUAUAGAGCAGUCUAGUUCAAAGGAGACAGACAGUAAUACUUAGCCUACUUUACCUACACUACCAGAAGUACCAUAGUAUUCGAUUGCAAAGGACAAUGAUAUGAUCCAAGAUCCGAAGGUUUAGAAUUCAAAUUCGAGUAGAGAUUUGUUGAUAGUUGGAGUUGGUUCGAUGACUCGAUCGAGGGCACAGAAGGUCAAUUAGGCAAUGGGAAUGCUGGUUCAAUCAACAAUUGAAGAAGCAUCGGUCCUGAAGCAAAAGGGAACAAGUUUGAUGUUGAGCUCUGGAGCUAUCUAAGUAGUUGAACUUAAUUAAAGUCCAGAAUGAAGUUGACGAAGUGCUAAAAUUUCUCUCGCUCAUCGCUCGAGCGAGGAAAGCAGAAACAUUCUCGUUCGCUUUUCGCUGGGACUUCGUUCGAGCGACGCUAACGUCGCUCGCUUUUCGCAUGACGUCGCUCGAGCGACGGUUAAUUUCGAGAUUUUAUUUUAUUUUACGCAUUUUUCCAUAUUUUAGCCAAAACUUUAUACUAUUUGAACUUCUUACCAUAUUGGACAUUGUUUAGUCAGUUUUUCUCAUAUUUUCUAAGAUUAGUAUAAAUACUUUAAGUUAGUUUUCAUUGUAAGACUUUUGACAUAUUACUCAAUUCAAGAGAGGCUUUUGCUUUCUUCCAUUGUUCUUCUUUGAACAACUAAUCAAACUUAUCAAGGAUUAAAUCUUUUUGGUGUUCAACAUCGAAUUGGGGGUUCUUCAAUUGUGUAGAAAGGGGUUCAUCGCAUCUUUUUAUCUUUGGGUUUCUUGUUUCACUUGUUGGGUUCAAAUCCAAAUCGAGUUAUUAAUUGGUGUCUUGUGUUCCGCAUCAAUCUAGUUGUGGGUUUCGUAGUCACUUUUGCUACGGGGUUUGCAUCAAACAGACCUGUAGACAGAUUAAACCUCCACAGAGAUAUGAAGAGGCGGAUUUGGUUGCUUAUGCUUUGAGUAUAGCUGAAGCUAUUGAUUCCACUGAGGAACUUGCUAUAUAUUCAGAGGCAGUCAAUUGCAGUGAUUUUGGCAAAUGAUUGAUUGCAAUGCAGGAGGAGAUGGAGUCUCUGCAUAAAAAUACCACUUGGGGCUUAUUGAAAUUGCCUAAGGACAAAAGGGUUGUUUGCUGCAAGUGUGCGUUCAAAAGGAAAGAAGGAACAUCAGGGAUUGAAGAUAUCAGGUAUAAGGCCAGGUUGGUACCAAAG
rnacentral:lncRNA from 1 species